AAUAAAAAGCAUAAAACUAUACAUUACUGGACUUUAUCAUUGAUAAUCUAGAUAAUAAUAACAACUUACCCUUUCAACACACUGUUUUAUAGGAAUCACCCGAUGUUACUUUGUCCUUGAAGAUGAAUUAGCUUCUAUUGAUAUGAUGUUCACCUAUAGGAUCCACCCAUUGCAUGGACUGGGCCCAAGGAAUCACCCGAUGUUACUUUGUCCUUGAAGAUGAAUUAGCUUCUAUUGAUAUGAUGUUCACCUAUAGGAUCCACCCAUUGCAUGGACUGGGCCCAAGGAAUCACCCGAUGUUACUUUGUCCUUGAAGAUGAAUUAGCUUCUAUUGAUAUGAUGUUCACCUAUAGGAUCCACCCAUUGCAUGGACUGGGCCCAAGGAAUCACCCGAUGUUACUUUGUCCUUGAAGAUGAAUUAGCUUCUAUUGAUAUGAUGUUCACCUAUAGGAUCCACCCAUUGCAUGGACUGGGCCCAAGGAAUCACCCGAUGUUACUUUGUCCUUGAAGAUGAAUUAGCUUCUAUUGAUAUGAUGUUCACCUAUAGGAUCCAUCCAUUGCAUGGACUGGGCCCAAGGAAUCACCCGAUGUUACUUUGUCCUUGAAGAUGAAUUAGCUUCUAUUGAUAUGAUGUUCACCUAUAGGAUCCAUCCAUUGCAUGGACUGGGCCCAAGGAAUCACCCGAUGUUACUUUGUCCUUGAAGAUGAAUUAGCUUCUAUUGAUAUGAUGUUCACCUAUAGGAUCCAUCCAUUGCAUGGACUGGGCCCAAGGAAUCACCCGAUGUUACUUUGUCCUUGAAGAUGAAUUAGCUUCUAUUGAUAUGGUCUUCACCUAUAGGAUCCAUCCAUUGCAUGGACUGGGCCCAAGGAAUCACCCGAUGUUACUUUGUCCUUGAAGAUGAAUUAGCUUCUAUUGAUAUGGUCUUCACCUAUAGGAUCCAUCCAUUGCAUGGACUGGGCCCAAGGAAUCACCCGAUGUUACUUUGUCCUUGAAGAUGAAUUAGCUUCUAUUGAUAUGGUCUUCACCUAUAGGAUCCAUCCAUUGCAUGGACUGGGCCCAAGGAAUCACCCGAUGUUACUUUGUCCUUGAAGAUGAAUUAGCUUCUAUUGAUAUGGUCUUCACCUAUAGGAUCCAUCCAUUGCAUGGACUGGGCCCAAGGAAUCACCCGAUGUUACUUUGUCCUUGAAGAUGAAUUAGCUUCUAUUGAUAUGAUGUUCACCUAUAGGAUCCAUCCAUUGCAUGGACUGGGCCCAAGGAAUCACCCGAUGUUACUUUGUCCUUGAAGAUGAAUUAGCUUCUAUUGAUAUGAUGUUCACCUAUAGGAUCCAUCCAUUGCAUGGACUGGGCCCAAGGAAUCACCCGAUGUUACUUUGUCCUUGAAGAUGAAUUAGCUUCUAUUGAUAUGAUGUUCACCUAUAGGAUCCAUCCAUUGCAUGGACUGGGCCCAAGGUACUUAAACAUAGCAAUAAUAAGAUUUGCAUAUGUUCUUCACCUAUAGGACCCAUCCAUCUUAUGGACUCCCCCCUAGGUCUUAAAGAUAUCUCUAACAAGAUAUGAUCUUCACCUAUAGGACCCAUCAUUUUUUAGAUUGGG